rnacentral:tRNA from 1 species
AGCCUCAUAGCUCAGUUGUUUAGAGCGUUGGCUGUACUAAAGCCUUCCCCUUGCUGGUGUGGGUUCGAAUCCCACCGAGGCCG